UCGUGAUGGUGAUGAUGAUCGUGCCCAUGAUCAUGGUGGUGAUCGUGGUCGUGAUGAUCGUGACCGUGGUCAUGGUCAUGGUCAUGAUCAUCG
rnacentral:misc_RNA from 1 species